rnacentral:rRNA from 1 species
UACGUAGGGGGCAAGCGUUGUCCGGAUUUAUUGGGCGUAAAGAGCGUGUAGGCGGCCAGAUAGGUCAGCUGUGAAAACUCGAGGCUCAACCUCGAGAUGUCGGCUGAAACCAUCUGGCUAGAGUCCGGAAGAGGAGAAUGGAAUUCCCGGUGUAGCGGUGAAAUGCGCAGAUAUCAGGAAGAACACCCGUGGCGAAGGCGGCUCCCUGGGACGGUACUGACGCUGAGACGCGAAAGCGUGGGGAGCAAACAGG